AAUGUGGUCGUUCUGCCAAAUUUGAGCAAGGAUUAUGCAGCGGUGAGCGAAAAAUGUUUUGCGAACGCGCGCAGCGAAAUAUUCAGGACCCAGCACAUGACUUAUGGCUUUCGUAUUUACUUCGACUUUGGAUUCGCAACUUUGAGAAGCGCGGGGAUGGCUCUCACGGCACCUUGCAAUCUACGGUGGUGAACGAGUAUCUAAACGCGAGUGGCAUUCCUCUCUUGCUUGCGUUGCGCCUGUCAAACCUGACAGCGGUGGCAGCAUGUCGUCCCAUCCGGCUUCAACUGAACGCUCGCCGACUGGUGCGGAAGAAGCGGCUUGCCUCGUUUCGCAGGGGCCAUCAAAGAAAAUCGUGAAGCUCACAGGCGUCCGGAAACUCGCCGACCUCCACGAAACUUGCGGACGGGAGGGUUCGUGCACCUGAUGACAGGCAACGACCUUCUAAUACAGAUCUUCCAACGACCGGUUACAGCGCUACGUCGACAUGGGUGAAAGCACGACGGUGUGUGAUGGAGCAUUGAUUAACUUGGUUGUCUCCCCAAGCGACUCCGAAGCAUCAGAGGCACCAAAAAAGCCCUGGACAUGUGGAGAAUGCAGUCAAAGGACAGGGAAUUGUCAACGGACAGGGAAGGCACAAGGAAUUGUCAACGUACACACUGCCUCCGAUGCCCAUUGACAUUGCUGCACACCUCUGAAAUAUUACAUCAGGAGGCGUGCCUGACAAAUUUCAAAAGAAAAUUGAAUGGAUUGCCUACAAUUCGUCAUCUCGGACAAUGUACCCAAAUAAAUUGUGCAAUGUUGCUGCAAGGAGCCUCGUAAACCGGUACCCAGCACUGAGGGACACAUUGCACCUUGGCCAUGUAAGAGCAUUUUCUUAUAACUUUUUUUUAUUUCUUCUGCACUUUUAGAUGUUAAGCAUAUCCUGGCCAAGGCAGCCGUAUUUCGAUGGGGGCAUAAUGCAAAAACACCCGUGUACUUAGAUUUAGGUGUACGUUAAAGGACCCCAGGUGAUCCGAAUUUCUGGAG